rnacentral:rRNA from 1 species
AGAACGAACGCUGGCGGCAGGCUUAACACAUGCAAGUCGAACGCCCCGCAAGGGGAGUGGCAGACGGGUGAGUAACACGUGGGAACAUGCCCAAAGGUACGGAAUAUCCUCGGGAAACUGAGAGCAAUACCGUAUGUGCCCGAAAGGGGAAAGAUUUAUCGCCUUUGGAUUGGCCCGCGUCGGAUUAGCUUGUUGGUGGGGUAAAAGCCUACCAAGGCGACGAUCCGUAGCUGGUCUGAGAGGACGACCAGCCACACUGGGACUGAGACACGGCCCAGACUCCUACGGGAGGCAGCAGUGGGGAAUCUUGGACAAUGGGCGCAAGCCUGAUCCAGCCAUGCCGCGUGGAUGAUGAAGGCCUUAGGGUUGUAAAAUCCUUUCGUUGGGGACGAUAUGACGGUACCAAGAAGAAGCUCCGGCUAACUUCGUGCCAGCAGCCGC